UGCCAGCUUUAUUAUCUCCCUGCUA
rnacentral:piRNA from 1 species